rnacentral:rRNA from 1 species
ACGGAGGAUGCAAGCGUUAUCCGGAUUCAUUGGGUUUAAAGGGUGCGCAGGCGGAAUGCUAAGUCAGUGGUGAAAUCUCCCGGCUUAACCGGGAAACUGCCAUUGAUACUGUCAUUCUUGAGUACAGUUGAAGUGGGCGGAAUGUGUCAUGUAGCGGUGAAAUGCUUAGAUAUGACACAGAACACCGAUAGCGAAGGCAGCUCACUAAGCUGUAACUGACGCUCAUGCACGAAAGCGUGGGGAUCAAACAG